rnacentral:rRNA from 1 species
GAAGAAACCAACAGGGAUUGCCCUAGUAACGGCGAGUGAAGCGGCAACAGCUCAAAUUUGAAAUCUGGCUCUUUUAGAGUCCGAGUUGUAAUUUGCAGAGGGCGCUUUGGCGUUGGCAGCGGUCCAAGUUCCUUGGAACAGGACGUCACAGAGGGUGAGAAUCCCGUACGUGGUCGCUAACCUUCGCCGUGUAAAGCCCCUUCGACGAGUCGAGUUGUUUGGGAAUGCAGCUCUAAAUGGGAGGUAAAUUUCUUCUAAAGCUAAAUACUGGCCAGAGACCGAUAGCGCACAAGUAGAGUGAUCGAAAGAUGAAAAGCACUUUGGAAAGAGAGUCAAAUAGCACGUGAAAUUGUUGAAAGGGAAGCGCUUGCAGCCAGACUUGCCUGUAGUUGCUCAUCCGGGCUUUUGCCCGGUGCACUCUUCUGCGGGCAGGCCAGCAUCAGUUUGGGCGGUUGGAUAAAGGUCUCUGUCAUGUACCUCUCUUCGGGGAGGCCUUAUAGGGGAGACGACAUGCAACCAGCCUGGACUGAGGUCCGCGCAUUUUGCUAGGAUGCUGGCGUAAUGGCUGUAAGCGGCCCGUCUUGAAACACGGACCAAGGAGUCUAACAUCUAUGCGAGUGUUUGGGUGUCAAGCCCGAGCGCGCAAUGAAAGUGAACGGAGGUGGGACCCCAUUAGGGUGCACCAUCGACCGAUCCUGAAGUCUUCGGAUGGAUUUGAGUAAGAGCAUGGCUGUUGGGACCCGAAAGAUGGUGAACUAUGCUUGAAUAGGGUGAAGCCAGAGGAAACUCUGGUGGAGGCUCGCAGCGGUUCUGACGUGCAAAUCGAUCGUCAAAUUUGGGCAUAGGGGCGAAAGACUAAUCGAA